rnacentral:rRNA from 1 species
UACAGAGGGGGCAAGCGUUGUUCGGAUUUACUGGGCGUAAAGGGCGCGUAGGCGGCGUGACAAGUCACUUGUGAAAUCUCCGGGCUUAACUCGGAACGGUCAAGUGAUACUGUCGUGCUAGAGUACAGAAGGGGCAACUGGAAUUCUCGGUGUAGCGGUGAAAUGCGUAGAUAUCGAGAGGAACACCUGCGGCGAAGGCGGGUUGCUGGGCUGAUACUGACGCUGAGGCGCGAAAGCUAGGGGAGCAAACAGG